GAGCAUUUUAAGCAACGUUCGAAGGUUCCACCUGCUUUGAACCAGUUCACAAAGACCUUAGAUAAAAACCUUGGAAAACGACAAAGUUGGAGGACGAUUUAUAUAGUUCGGUUACAUAUUACUUGGAAUGCUUGUUGGACCUACAACUGCUGGAAGAGGAGAAUCAUAUUUGUUGAACAAAAGAGAAGAUCGGACGAUGGUGGAUGCUUGCCUUACAGAAGGUGCUCACUACCAGGACCUUGUUCAGGUGCAUAACUUAUAAGUGUUGCAGAUUUGAAAGACAAUCGGC